GGAAGUGAGGGCAUUCUGGCUCAGAUAUUUUUCACCCCAUUGACCGCCAUGGUUGAUUCAGCUGAACCAGCUGGCUAAGCAGGUGUCCCUUCCCCCCUCACAGCUGCAUGGUCCUCCCUCAGAAGCUGCAUGCUAGGUCGAAGAUGAUGACCUGCCCCCAAAUAGAGGAGGGCCAUUCUUCAGAGAAGGAUAUAUGUUGAGCUGCACUCCCCUGCUAGAACCUCCAAACAAGCUCUCAAGACCAACACUAUUCUUAUACAAUUUGAUCUCUCAUCAUUUUUUCCUUAAAAUUCCUUCAUUUUCUAAAUUAUGUUGUUGUGAUACCAUAAUGGUUUAGAUUUUU
rfam:Cricetulus griseus cell line CHO-K1, whole genome shotgun sequence.